CCGUUUGCCUGCAUGCGCCUAGGCGUGCGGGGCACGGUUCGUCCGGGCGUGCUGUGUUUGCGGACCGUGGUGGCGGAUGAGCGUUGCUGGGUUUGCGGACUGUGUUGGCGAAUGAGUGGUGUGUGGGUCUUGAGUGCUGUCUGACUCUUUGCCUCGCGCAACGAACGGGCGCACCGGAUCUUCUCCAUGUGUGGGCUCGAGCUACCGUGCUCGUUUCACUGUUGUGCGGCUCCUGUGUUUCCUACCCCGUGGUGUGGUAUCACUGCCUUGCCCCAACCUUUCCUCUCCGGAGUCCCCUAGUGGGAUUGCCGGGGGAGUUCCAAGACACGCCCGUGGUCCUACCCGUUU